rnacentral:misc_RNA from 1 species
GAUGAAGAACGUAGCGAAAUGCGAUAAGUAAUGUGAAUUGCAGAAUUCAGUGAAUCAUCGAAUCUUUGAACGCACAUUGCGCCCCUUGGUAUUCCGAGGGGCAUGCCUGUUCGAGCGUCAUUAUAACCCCACAAGCUCAGCUUGGUGUUGGGGCCUGCUGCACUGGCAGCCCUUAAAAUCAGUGGCGGCGCCAUCUGGCUCUAAGCGUAGUAAUUCUUCUCGCUAUGGAGUCCUGGUGGAUGCUUGCCAUCAACCCCCAAUUUUUCUAUGGUUGACCUCGGAUCAGGUAGGGAUACCCGCUGAACUUAAGCAUAUCAAUAAGCGGAGGA